rnacentral:tRNA from 1 species
GCGCCAGUAGCUCAAUGGAUAGAGUACUUCCCUGCGAAGGAAGGGGUUGCAGGUUCAAUUCCUGUCUGGCGCA